CCUGAAAAUAGAAUGACAUUAACUCAAAACCUCACUUCAAAAGGAAAGAGAUGAAUUAUUUGCCAAAAUGUGGAACGCAGUCUAAAUUCAUUUUCUGACAAGCUUACAAUAGUUGUAUUUAACAGCAUUGAGGGCAUGCCCUCCGAUCCACUCAUAAAAUUAGCAAGAGUACAUCAGAAUGUGACAUCAGGGGACUUCAUGUCAUUCUACAUUUCUGCCCACUGAUCCUUUUGGACGGUUGAACAUCUUUUAAAGACUUGCAUUUUUAAUAUACCCCCACUAGUGACUGAUCUUGUUCUUUUCUUUUUCUUGAAAGUUAUUAAGAAUUCUGGAACUGAACUAUGCAUUAAGAUGCAUUUGCCAAAGGUCAACAUCCCUUUAACUCAGUAAGUGGGUAAGUAUUGGAAAAAUCAAGAUCAGUCAUGUCCUUUCCCCCUCUGUCAACAUUCAGUCUACCUAAAUUAGGUGGAACAGCAUCAAUAAACACUCUCACGACCUUUUCUUCUGCGACAUACUCCUACACUGCCUUUUAGAGAAAAAAAAUGCUCCCACCUAUUAAACAUGCUCUUAAUAGGCUAACAAGAUAUAUGGGCUCUGCACGGCAUUCCAAUCGCUAUCUAAGGAAGUAAAAAAAAAAAAGAGUAGCAGGGACUGUCGGCAUGCAUACUAAUAGCUGGAAACUUGAUUUGGAGCAAGUGUGCUAAACAAAUGAAGGACCACUUAGCCUGCUAAUGAAGUAUUAGAUUUCGAACAAGUUGCCAAUGACAGGUAAUAAAGGUGGCCAACUCGUGAAUUGUAUAUUCAUAUAGGAAGCAACACUUUGCAAGUUUCGUUUGUCUAGUUGAGCUGUCAAUUAAGAAAGAUAUUGCCACUGCAAGGGUUAUUUUUCUAGCCCAGUAGUCAUUCAUAAAGCAUUUUUUAAUUGAUUAAUAUUUGUUUCCUUUCAACCAGUCAAGGGUAAGGUGACACCUGUCCACCGACAAUUCUAUUGCAGAGUGGACUAGUAGACAGCUGCGCAGUUUGAUAUGUCCUCCUUCCCCUAAUAUACAAGCAUUAGGCGCACUAACAAGCAAUGUGAUUUGGGGUAGAAAAAGUAUCUGGCCCACAAACUGAACAUACAAAGACUAUAUAUCGACCAAAAGCAAGAGAUUUUUUUUAUUUGUGGGCAAAUUUAGAUUUUAUUUUAGGUAAUGUAAAAAUUGGAGCUUAAUUACAUGAUGAGUUCUGCUAGAUACCAAAUUUGUUCUCCACUUAGACUACCAGAACACGUACAUUUAAGAAGUAAGCCACAACAGUAGAUAGGAAGCAUUUACGGAUAGCCUUCAUUUAUAUUACUGGAUGCCAGGAUAGCAUAAAUCUAUUAAUAACCAGGAAUAUUUCCAGUCAAAACAAGGCAGAGGUGUUCCUAAAAUCCAAAUAUUUCAGGUAAUCACUCUUCAGUUCACACAGCAACAGGCCCCACAAAUUCACUCCAGAUCCAGUCAAUAGCUGAAUUGACCGUUUGCGACAACUGUAUCGUGACAACAGUAAGAGAAGUUCUUGCACACAAAGUGGAUGCAUGCAUGGACUGAAAGAAAAAAAAAAGCUUUUUCAGGGAACAAAAUGCAUGGAAAGGGGAUUGAAGGCAGGAGGGAUUAUGAACCUUGGGAAGUUGGAGUUGGAGAGCUUCUUCUCGCCGUACUUCCUCCACUGGUGCCCGUCAUCAUACGGAGCGUAAGUGUCCGAGGUCCAGCAGGGGAAACUUGAGGAAGCUGCGCUUCUGCGUACCUGAUCCUUUGCUGCUGGGUUCUGGCAGCCCUGUGGGCUGAUCCCAAGUCGCUGAGAUAGGUAGGAACAGAAUCUAGAGCCAUGGCAAGAAUGGUGAGCGGAGGGAGGCCGCUGACGAACUGAUGAAGAGGGAGGGAGAGAGGAUCAGAGGAGACGUUUCUUGGGGGAACUCGGCGGCCUGCGCUGGGAGACUCUGACGACCUUUAUUUAUAGCAUUAAACAACGACGGUGCAGCCAGGAGCAUUUUUCAACGUUAACACGCGUCGUUGCCUCUGGAACUCCCCCUAACGGCGCCGCUGCACUUCCUCUUCGUGCAUUUUUAUAUGUUCUCCAUGGCAGGACUCCUUUCCAACUUAUUCCUACUAAUUACAAUUUACAAGCACUAAUAUCAUUUUGCAGCGCUGCAAGUAAGAAUCUGUCCAAGAGCUAUGCUUUCUUUCAA